GCGCAUUGUGCUGUUACGAGUAGGUUAGAGGGGAGAACGGAGAGCAGGGUCCAGGUUUCGAGCAGGCCCGUACCGUAAGAUGUUCCAGUUCCUGGUAGGGUUUACUCUUGGAAACGUGGUGGGAAUGUAUCUGGCCCAAAAUUAUCAGGGCUGUGUGCACCAGGCCGUCAUUUCCCCUGUGAUGUAUGUGAAAUGCACAUUACCAACAGCAAGAUACAUGAGUGCAUUGGAAUACUAAAGAGCUUUGGCCAAAAGCUGUGAGCUGAUAUUAUUUUAGCGUCAAAACAAGCAAAAUAUUCAAAGCCAGAUUUAGAUUCCAAAUAUCUAUAAGAAGUUUGAAGAAUUCAAAAAGGAUGCUGAAUCCCGAAAAAAGCCACCAGAUGAUCGAUCGUAAUAUGUACGGCCCAUGGCUAACACUGGGACAUUGGCAUUCAGUUACUAAUGCUAAACUGACUCUAUGCAUUGAGUAUCAAACAGUAUUGGACCCACCUCAACAGUUCUAUUUAUUUAGCACUGAUUAAAAAAAGUAGUCCAACUCAAAAAUCACCUGUGUUUUUA